UAAUUUAGGUGUUCACUGAUAACAGAAUUGCCGUCCUUAAUUAAAUAGAUAGGUUACAUAAAAAUUAUAUAAUGAAUGCAAGAACUAUAAGAAUGUUAAAUAUUAGCAUGUACUAAAUUUUAAUUUUUCGCAAAGUAUUCAUAUAUAUAUAAUGUUUAUAAUUUCAUAUUAUUGCACUUGUUCGGAGAAUCAUAAAAUAAAAAUUUGAAAUCAACCAGGUAAUUUGCUGGUUUUGCUCCAUUUUGGUAUUUUUCUGGUAAAAGCUGUUUAUUAUUUUUAAAUGUCAGAAAAAAAAAAUGGGUGCGAUAUUGUUAUACGUGGAAAGUUGGCAAUUUAAUUUAGCAGUAUUAAAAUAUUGCUUACAGAAUACGAUUUUGAGCGAAGUUCAGUUGUACAUGUUUUAAAAUGACCGAAUUUUUAAAAUUUCAUC